rnacentral:rRNA from 1 species
CCUACGGGCGGCAGCAGUGAGGAAUAUUGGUCAAUGGGCGGAAGCCUGAACCAGCCAAGUAGCGUGCAGGAUGACGGCCCUACGGGUUGUAAACCUCUUUUGUCGGGGAGCAAGGCCCGCCACGUGUGGCGGGAAGGAGAGUACCCGAAGAAAAAGCAUCGGCUAACUCCGUGCCAGCAGCCGCGGUAAUACGGAGGAUGCGAGCGUUAUCCGGAUUUAUUGGGUUAAAAGGGUGCGUAGGCGGAAGGUUAAGUCAGCGGUAAAAUGUCGGUGCUCAACACCGGCCUGCCGUUGAAACUGGUCUUCUUGAGUGAGCGAGAAGUAUGCGGAAUGCGUGGUGUAGCGGUGAAAUGCAUAGAUAUCACGCAGAACUCCGAUUGCGAAGGCAGCAUACCGGCGCUCAACUGACGCUGAGGCACGAAAGCGUGGGGAUCGAACAGGAUUAGAUACCCUUGUAGUC